AGUGAAAAGAAAUAUUCAGUUCUCAACCUCGUGGGCCAAUGUCAUGGAAGCAAAGUCGAUUCAGUAAAAUCGCUUUCUUGCUCGAAACUUUAAAGCAAAAUUAAACAAGAAAUGUUAUAUUCUCUACCUCAAUUCAAACUGAGAAGGUAUGUAUAUAUUCUUCUGUUAUAUUUAUGUAAAAUGGCCAUAUUUUUUAGCGAGAUAAUCACUUGCUUGAAACGACUUCAAAUGCCGAAGUUGACGAGCGCAACUCGCUUCGCCUUCGAUGACGACGCGCUGUCAUUGUCAUUGAAUUACAGAAUUUAGCCUUGGCUUUUUGCUAAUGCAACCCUGAAUUCAACCCUUGUUAGGGUGAUUUUAAAGCUAAAUUUGUUUAAAUGUUUGUCGUUUUUGCGAAAAUAAUUGAUACAACGCAAUUAAAUAAACUAUGCAUAAAUGAUAAGAGAGAACCAUUAGAAAUAUGAUUGGGG